CUGCCCCACGCAGUAGGGCUAAUCCUCGGUGAGCAUUCUAGUUUGGAAAGAGAGACAUUAGAGAGACUCACUCAUUCUCUAGAUUUCACAGAUAAGGAAAAAGAGUGUCAGAGCAUUCAUUACGUAAACUGCUUAAGGACAAUGUAAGUCUACGGUUCUGUUUCUGGGUUCGGGGAAAAAAAAAAAACUUCUGAUAAUCUAAUAGGCAGGAUAAUAAAUAUGCUGCCGUGUAUGUGUAAGCGUUUUAAAAGCAUUCAAACACACUCACAUGUAAUCUGCUUAAUAUUCUUAUCACUGCAAACUCUCAAAGAGGCUUGGUAGGCAUCAUUAUCUCAAUUGGCCGCAAUAAAGAUAGAGGAGACGUUCUGGGACAAUUAGCAGAAAUUCAGGCAAAAUAGAAGGGUGAGAAAGAGGUGGAGAGAAGUCUAUUCAAACGUGCUCUGGAAAGCGCGUACUUGCUCCUCACUAACGUGCCAGACGCCAGGGCUCUAAGGAUGAAAGACAUAGUUCACAUUCCUCAGGAGCUGGUGGUCCAACUGGGCAGUGGGGCGGGAAAGGCAAGACUCACAGCACAGCGACACAGGCUGCUUCGGGCACAGGGGCACGGGAAUGUGUGUCGCGGAAAACACACCAAGUCAGAGCAAGAUGAUCUCCUGCCGGGCCCCGAAGGGCCAAUUUUGCCAAGACCACGAGAGGGGACUCAAUGCAAUAACAAACCCACUACGAUGAGGAGAUAGAAACCGAGGCGAAGUAGAGUCUGAGCAAAUCACUCAGAACCACAGAGGCCACCAGUUUGGGACAAGAUCUCAGCAUUUUAUGUCUGUGUGUUUCUUAAUCCAUGUACUAUAUGCCCAGCCCAUUUGGUCGAAUUUGCUCUGUGUGGUUUUUAUUCUGUAAGCACAUGUGAUUUUUGUUUUUUUUUUUAAUAUAAAAUUAUGGAAGUGGUUUUGAUUACACCCUGUUGGAGUACACACUGCCCCUGCUGCCGCUUCAGCAUAUCUGAUCUCAAGCUGACGACCUCAGUCUCCACAUGAUGCGCAAAGGGUUUAUGCCUCUUGCCCAAGAUCACACGAGACAUCCACUGAGCUGGACGUGGAUCGAGUCUUCCCAUUAAGUGCUUUGCUGACUAUAGCACACUGCCGUCAGACUUUCUAGAAGAAAUCCCUACCGUCGUCGUGGAAAACUCAACAGGCUGCAAUAUCGGGAUUCUAGUAACGACAUUACCACACGAUAUCUGACGUACUGGGUAGAUCAUUUUAUGUCACUAAAUCUUGCCCCAAACCCUAUCUGACUCUCAGAUUUUAUGAAGUCUGUCAACUUCAGAACAUUCUUUCCGAUGAAAUUGAAGCUUAGAAAUUCAUGAUAUUUAUGAUUCGUUUAUUACUUCUAUUAUCUUCAGUGCCCUUCCCGACUCUGCUCCAUCUGACUUAGCUAAUAAACCUCUUAUUGUUCUGUCCCUGGGGUUCA
rnacentral:lncRNA from 12 species